UAGGGUAUCUUCGGCAAUGGUGGUAACCCUGACCGAGCAACGCCGCGUGAGUGACGAAGGUUUUCGGAUCGUAAAGCCCUGUUGUUAAGUAAGAACGAGUGUGAGAAUGGAAAGUUCAUGCUGUGACGGUACUUAACCAGAAAGGGACGGCUAACUACGUGCCAGCAGCCGCGGUAAUACGUAGGUCCCGAGCGUUGUCCGGAUUUAUUGGGCGUAAAGCGAGCGCAGGCGGUUAGAAAAGUCUGAAGUGAAAGGCAGUGGCUCAACCAGAGUAGGCCUUUGAAACUGUUUAACUUGAGUGCAGAAGGGGAGAGUGGAAUUCAACGGGUGGCGGUGAAAUGCGUAGAUAUAUGGAGGAACACCAGUGGCGAAAGAGGCUCUCUGGUCUGUCACUGACGCUGAGGCUCGAAAGCGUGGAGAGCGAAGAGG
rnacentral:rRNA from 1 species